rnacentral:rRNA from 2 species
AAUCAAGUGCCUUAAGGGUGUUCGGUGGAUGCCUUGGCGCUGAGAGGCGAUGAAGGACGUGCUACGCUGCGAUAAGCCGUGGGGAGCUGCGAAGAAGCUUUGAUCCAUGGAUUUCCGAAUGGGGAAACCCACCUUCGAUAGCCGGAACUCCAAGACCUUUGUCGAAAGACAAUGGUGUGGGGUUCGAACAGAAAUGUGAGAUGCCUGAGCCUUUAGAUUUCGAUCGAAGAGGUUUUGGAUUUCCGGUUAUCAAGAGAAGGUAUGAGACUUCUGAAUACAUAGGAGGUUUCAAGCAAACCCAGGGAACUGAAACAUCUAAGUACCUGGAGGAAAGGACAUCAACAGAGACUCCGUUAGUAGUGGCGAGCGAACGCGGACCAGGCC